CCAAUAUAAACAAUCUGCCUUCACACAAUUAUCACAAAUGAAGCUAGACAUAAGUAAUAGAAGCUCAACGCUUAUGUUUAUCCAAUUUUUACUUGUUAAUCUCCAACGUAUUUGAAUUUCAAGAAAAAGGGACAAAGUAAUAUUAGUUGAUACAACUCAAAAACUGAUUAAGAAUAUAGGGAAAUAACUAAUAGGGAGACAUAUGCUACAACGAUACAAAAAUUUACUGAAUACCUGCAAAAUCAACCAAAACAACCAAACAUUAAAAUGGUGUAGAAACUGAACCAAGCUACAAAUCUGCAGUCACAAAUGAGAAAACCAAAAACUAAAAAUUAAGCAAAAUCAAAAUAGAGAUCAUAUUGCCAGAAUUAUACACGACCAAGCUAACACAUGCAGCACAAAGAGCAACUUGAUAAAAAUCACAGAAAAUGAUGGCCGAAAUUUUUUAAGUGAAACAGGACUGAGCACAUGCAGCGCAAAAAGUUAUCCAAAUUUAAAUGCGGUAUAAAUUCAGUGACUCCCUUGCUAAUUAGUAGGGAGAAAACUGAAACUUCAGAAAAAAUUCCAAAAGAAACCAAAAAAAAAGGACUAAGCGGAGAAGCAGAAGAUUGAGCAGAAAUAGAAGUAGAGAAAAGAGGAAAACUCACCGGAAGAAGGAAGAACGACAGAAGAGAGAAACCAAAUAAUACACCCAGGCAUUAGAAAGAACAUCGGAACUAUCGAAAAGCAUAGAUCAUUCUCAAUUACCAGAACAUUUCAAUUACCAUAAUUUCCUUUCAUCAUCUAUCUAUAAUCUAUAAGGAAUCUUUUUAGCUAAAAGUCAAAUUAC
rnacentral:lncRNA from 1 species